UACGUAGGGUGCAAGCGUUAUCCGGAAUUCUUGGGCGUAAAGAGCUCGUAGGCGGUUUGUCGCGUCUGCUGUGAAAACUGGAGGCUCAACCUCCAGCCUGCAGUGGGUACGGGCAAACUAGAGUGCGGUAGGGGAGAUUGGAAUUCCUGGUGUAGCGGUGGAAUGCGCAGAUAUCAGGAGGAACACCGAUGGCGAAGGCAGAUCUCUGGGCCGUAACUGACGCUGAGGAGCGAAAGCAUGGGGAGCGAACAGG
rnacentral:rRNA from 1 species